UGAAGUGGUCAUUGCAGUCAUUGAAUCACCUGACAAGACUGACAAGUUAAUUCUUCGCCAGAGUGAAUUCAAUUCUCUAGCACCACACAAGUGGCUGCUGGGCGAGGUAAACUUUUAUUUUACGCAGCAACCAUCACAUUUGUAUUCAUUUAGAUUUUGUACAGUCUGAGAAAUUACUACUAAUGUAAUAAUUUUUUUCAGACAAUUGAGUGCUACCUCAGAGCCAUGCUGAAUGUGAAAGGGUUAGGGAAAAGAAUAUGUAUCCUCAACCACUAUUCUGCCGGAGUCAUAGUCUUUGGAGCACGGUCUGCCAUGGCCAAUCACUCAUUACGCAAGGUAAAAAUGCUAAAAUUGUAUCAAAGCUAACAUUAUUAAACAUUUAGAAGAUGAAAAUCUCUCUAAAAUAUGUUUGUUAAUAAUUGCUGUUACAGCUUAUUUUUGACUACUACGAUGGAGUCAUAGGAUUCAUGAAUGUUGCAAAGAACCACUGGAAAUUCCUGGUAAUAACCUUAAUGAACAUAUUACAAAAUAUAUCCUCAAUAAUAAUAAUCUGCCAAUAGUGAAAUUCUAAUGAAAUGUAAUUUCUCCUUGCAGUAUCUCAACAAGUUGAACAAAAAAGUGUUUGUCAUGGAUCCCUUGGGUCAAGAUGAGGUGAAAGAGUCAGGCGUUGCUGCGGAACGGUUUCGCCAGUUCUUCAGGAUGUGGCAGAACUGCUAUCAGAAGACGGAUUGGGUGGAUGUAAAGUGGCAGCAAGCCUCAAUCGAACACAGCAUUCAAAAGGAUGGUUGUAACUGUGGUGUUUUCGUCAUGAAGAUGGCUACAGACGUGGUGGAGGCUUUUCCCGUUGUCCCCCAGGGAAUCGAAAUACCCACAUCCCUAAAGGACUUGAAAGGACCUGAGGAUCACCAUGGCAAAAACCAUACUGCAGUGCUCUGGUUUGUAGAAUGAACAAUGAUAAUAACAAUUAGUACUGUAGAGUAACUUCUUCAAAGAAAGUUAUUAUUAUUAUUAUUAUUAUUAUUAUUAUUAUUAAUUAUACAUUUUAUUUUAUUCGUUACUCUGGCCAUGCCCCAUCCACCAACAUGGAGGGAGCAGGAUAAAUGGCAUGUGAUGGGGAGUUUGCUUAUAUUUGUGUUUGUCACGGCUUUCAAGCAUGCAAAUUAUUGAAGCCUUACGGACGCCUUGGGACGGAUUUCAACGCGCUGCGGCAUCACUUACUGUUACAGUUUGUUUGGAGAUCGGCUGGUUGCGGUGGGUGCGUGCGUGCCAUUCAAAGUAACAAAUUAAUAACUUAAAGACGAUGCAUGCACCUACACUAUUCCUUCGGUUCAAAAUAAAACGGCGUUGCUUAUUUGCCUCAAACGUUCCUAUCUUUUCAUAUUGUGUGUGUAUAGAUGCGGCGUGGUACCGAGCGGUUGAAAACGAUUUCUGUCGGCGUCUCCUGUGAGCCGCGCACCUGCGUUCAAUUACUAUAUAUAGGCACGGGACACGCAGUGAUUGCGUCAUCGAACAGAAAGAAAAACGAAAGUGCGACGCCUGUAGUUCUUUCAAUGGAAUGGCUCCUACAGUGUUUAUAUCCAUCCAAUAAAGAAGCUCCCAGUGAGGGAAGACGAACUGUGGUCUCCGCACGCUCUCUGACCUGCUACAGUUUGUAAAUUACGCUCACUGUUAUUAUUCUGUCUAAGAAUCUUGAAAAAGUGUUUUACAGGGAAGCAAGAAGCUGUGAAAUCUUCAAGGUGAGUUUCUGAACACAUCGGUUUGGUGUUUAUCUUUAAAAACAAGGGAGCUAUUAUAAAAUAAAAGAUAUUGUGCUAAUCCACUGAUUUUCAAUUUUGAAAGCAUGUCUCGUGUUCAGGCUUCAAGGUUUUUUAUUAAAUGUCCCAAGAGGGGAAAUUAGUUCACAGCGAAGGAGGGAGUGGCUAAAAAAACAAGACAGAACAAGACAACAAUGUGUUGUCUGUGGUGUGGACUCUGCAUUAAUAAGUGGUUCAUCAGACUCCCUUGAUAUUGUUUGAUUAACAAAUACAUUUCUUUUUAACAGGGAGCUAUUUAGCCAAUCAAAUGUCUUCCUCAUUUUCAGCAAAUCACAUGAGAGCUUCACUUGUCCCUGUAUUUAAUAUUUUCUAAAGUUCAGAGAUUUUUCCUUGUAAUUAUACCAAAAGUUUGGAUUCCUACAAAAACUGAUUAUUAGUGUGAUGAAAUAAAAAGCUGUAUAUAUUAUACCAUUUUAACUAAAAGAUUCAGCUGCAGAUCAUUUUCUGCCAGGUGAUGCUCAUGAUUAUUAUGAACACAUUUUAAAGCAUACACAACUUUUCAGUAUCAUCAUUUUCUGGCAGGAGGAAAAGGACCCCAAUGUGUCAUAUUUUCGCUUUAAAACGUAUUACAGCUGAUAAAAGAGACAGGAUUUGUUCUUAUCUACCCCAUAUAGCCCACAGGAAUGUUAUAGUGUCAGUUUGGAGCAGAAAUAUCAUUUUAUCUACAAGAUUCGGCUUGACAUCAUUUUCUGGCAGGAGGGAAACGUCUGAAAUGUCUUAUAUUUGCCCAUGCGAAGGUGUUUCAGCUGGUGAUAGACACUGGAUGGGAUAUAAUCUAUGUAAUUUGAUACUCAAGAAUGUUCUCAACUCAUUUUAAGGCAUAUAAAACAUUUCAGUACCAAGAUUCGGCUUGAGAUCAUUUUCUGGCAGGAGGGAAACGACUGAAAUGUCUUAUAUUUGCCCAUGUGAAGGUGUUUCAGCUGGUAAUAGACACUGGAUGGGAUAUAAUCUAUGUCAUUUCAUACUCAUGAAUGUUCUCAACUCAUUUUAAGGCAUAUAAAACAUUUCAGUACCAAGAUUCGGCUUCAGAUCAUUUUCUGGCAGGAGGGAAACGACUGAAAUGUCUUAUAUUUACCCAUGUCAAUGUGUUUCAGCUGGUAAUAGACACUGGAUGGGAUAUAAUCUAUGUCAUUUGAUACUCAUGAAUGUUCUCAACUCAUUUUAAGGCAAAUAAAACAUUUCAGUACCAAGAGAGGGCUUGAGAUAAUUUUCUGGCAGGAGGAAAAGGACUCCAAUGUGUCAUAUUUUCCCUUUAUAACGUAUUACAGCUGAUAAAAGAGACUGGAUUGGUUGUUAUCUACCCCACAUAGCCCACAUGAAUGUUAUAGUGUCAAUUUGAACCCUAAUCUAUUUAAUGUGAUGAAAAAAUUCUUCUUCAAAAAUCUAUAAUCUGGGAAAACAAUGCAUAGUAAGAAAAAAAGGCGUCCUAAGAGGUGAGAAAUCUUUUUUCUGAUAUGCCAAUGGAAA
ensembl:lncRNA